AAGUUGGACAGACACAAGACCUGCACUGAGGCGGCUUUCUCUGCCGGAGCUGCUCCAGUUUAACAGGAGGGUGCGGUCUGCACCAAAACCACAAUGUUAGCAGAUUUAGACCUGAAGAUGAGCUGGAUUCAGGCCUCAUCAGACAGCAAACAAAGGGCUCGAUGAGGAGGGAAGAAGAGGGUUGGAGCUAACCAAGCAUCAAUUCCUGAUGGUCAGCUGGAUCAGGUGGAGCUGGGGUUCUGCUCUGAUGCCUGAACUGGUGUCCCGGGACACAGCGGACCACGGCGUGC